AGCCGCGCAUGCGCACUCGUACUCACCGGAGGGCUAAGACUUGGCCGUGUGGGACCCCGCGCACGCGCCUUCUGAGCCCACCUACUCAGCUCGGGCCUCCGCGGGCCUGCAGAGGGCGCUGCGCCUCGGAGAGCCGGGGCGGGGUGCCGCUCUAGCCAGCGUCCGGGCUCGGUGGCGGGUGCCGCUGCUCCAAGUCCCCCAAGCGGCCUCCCGGCGCAGGUUUCACAGGCGGCCACUGGACCCCUCCAGUCUUGAACCCUGAGCCCCUGAGCCGACACCAUGCACGGGCGCCUGAAGGUGAGGGAACAGAAG